rnacentral:rRNA from 1 species
AACGAACGCUGGCGGCAUGCCUAACACAUGCAAGUCGAACGGACCCUUCGGGGUUAGUGGCGCACGGGUGCGUAACGCGUGGGAAUCUGCCCUUAGGUUCGGAAUAACAGUUAGAAAUGACUGCUAAUACCGGAUAAUGACGUAAGUCCAAAGAUUUAUCGCCUAAGGAUGAGCCCGCGUAGGAUUAGCUUGUUGGUGAGGUAAAGGCUCACCAAGGCGACGAUCCUUAGCUGGUCUGAGAGGAUGAUCAGCCACACUGGGACUGAGACACGGCCCAGACUCCUACGGGAGGCAGCAGUGGGGAAUAUUGGACAAUGGGCGAAAGCCUGAUCCAGCAAUGCCGCGUGAGUGAUGAAGGCCUUAGGGUUGUAAAGCUCUUUUGCCAGGGAUGAUAAUGACAGUACCUGGAGAAUAAGCUCCGGCUAACUCCGUGCCAGCCGCCGCCGUAAG